rnacentral:rRNA from 1 species
AACGAACGCUGGCGGCAUGCCUAACACAUGCAAGUCGAACGAGACCUUCGGGUCUAGUGGCGCACGGGUGCGUAACGCGUGGGAACCUGCCCUUAGGUUCGGAAUAACUCCCCGAAGGGGUUCCAAUUCCCGGUUAUUGCUUCCGGCCAAAAGUUUUUUCGCUUUUGGAUGGGCCCGCGUUGGAUUAGCUAGUUGGUAGGGUAAAAGCCUACCAAGGCGACGAUCCAUAGCUGGUCUGAGAGGAUGAUCAGCCACACUGGGACUGAGACACGGCCCAGACUCCUACGGGAGGCAGCAGUGGGGAAUAUUGGACAAUGGGCGAAAGCCUGAUCCAGCAAUGCCGCGUGAGUGAUGAAGGCCUUAGGGUUGUAAAGCUCUUUUACCCGGGAUGAUAAUGACAGUACCGGGAGAAUAAGCUCCGGCUAACUCCGUG